rnacentral:miRNA from 1 species
UCACCGGGUGUAAAUUGGCUCG